rnacentral:rRNA from 1 species
UGUGAACAUACCUAAAACGUUGCUUCGGCGGGAACAGACGGCCCUGUAACAACGGGCCGCCCCCGCCAGAGGACCCCUAACUCUGUUUUUAUAAUGUUUUUCUGAGUAAACAAGCAAAUAAAUUAAAACUUUCAACAACGGAUCUCUUGGCUCUGGCAUCGAUGAAGAACGCAGCGAAAUGCGAUAAGUAAUGUGAAUUGCAGAAUUCAGUGAAUCAUCGAAUCUUUGAACGCACAUUGCGCCCGCCAGUAUUCUGGCGGGCAUGCCUGUUCGAGCGUCAUUACAACCCUCAGGCCCCCGGGCCUGGCGUUGGGGAUCGGCGGAAGCCCCCUGUGGGCACACGCCGUCCCUCAAAUACAGUGGCGGUCCCGCCGCAGCUUCCAUUGCGUAGUAGCUAACACCUCGCAACUGGAGAGCGGCGCGGCCAUGCCGUAAAACACCCAACUUCUGAAUGUUGACCUCGAAUCA